UGCUUUACUUUGUAUCUUUGUUACAAUGUCUGUGUUUGUAGCAGGCAGAGUUUCUACAACAUAAACUAUUUUUUUGCUUAUGUUUUGGAAAGAGAAAAUUCUGAAGGUAAGUCGAAACUCAAAGACCCUAGAUUUCCAGGUGGAAGACUCCUAGGAGAUAGAUCAUCUAGCCCAAUCUUCUUAUUACAGAUGACAAAACUGGGGCUAGAAUGAUUAAGAUUCUUACCAAGUUCAGGCAUCUAGUAAGUGAAAAAGUCAGAAUUUGAACCCAAGUCUUCUUAUGCCAAAUCCAUUACAUUUUCCAUUUUUACCACUUUUAAGGAAACAGCUUGUUGGUAGAGCAGAUACAGCUCUGGACUUGCAAUAAAGAAGACGAGUUCAAAUCUUGCCUUUGACACUUACCAUCUAUAUGGCAAAUCACUUAAACUUUUUUAGCCUCAGUUUCUUUAUUUGUAAGAUGAAAUAAUAAUAGCACUUAACUUCCAGGGUUAUUGUGAGGCUCAAAGGGGAUUACAUGUAUAAAGCAUUUUUCAAACUGAAAGGAACUAUAUAAAUGCUAACCACUAUUAUUACUGUUACCACCAGUCUCUUCUUGUUUACCAACCCCUUCCCCACAUAUAUUUUUUAUUCAUGCUCACACACACACUCCCAGAAGUAUAUUUAAAAGCAGUACAUGCUUUAAGUAACGUUGUACUAUACAAUGACAUGAAUCAUGUAAAUAGCAAGUUUCAUUAGAACUGUCUCCAUGUCACCAAGACUAACUUAAGCCCUUAAUUUAGAAUUCACUGACUAAUGAUGAUUGACAGGUAUACCUAGCAAUCAUUAUCUAUUCUGUUCCCUCGACUAGGUUAUUAUCAAUACUGCAAUUCUUCACUAGUCUGUUAUAAUAAAAAAAGAUGCUAUUCUGGGAAGGAAUUGCUUUCCUAAACAAUAAUUCUUAGGUUUGUAUUUUUCCCUAAGUUACUGACAGGACUUUAUUUUGCACUGAAUCUCAGUAAGAUAUAUGACUCUCCACCAGUCUGUUAAUAAUGAAAAUCAAUCAAUUAGUCAGCAGAUAUUGAUUUAGUACCUGCUACAGGUUAGGCAUUGUGCUAGGGGCUUCCAGCUUUAGAAGCUGCUAUCUGGAGGAGUAACUCCUACCAAAUUCUAGACUACCAUAAGCAGUAUAUAAAUAGUGUCUCUUAAAAGGAAUUAGAUACCCACCUGGUUGACCCCCCCCCCAAAAAAAAAACAACAACAACCUAUAAACAAAUGCUUUUCGUCCAAGUUAUCUACCUAGUAUAAAAAUAACAAGAAAAAAGAAAUCAGUAAAUAGAGUCAAGCCAUUUUCAUCUGUCCUUCUACUAAACACUGGUAUAGUAUAUGAACUCCUUAAAUGGAACCCUUGGUUUUUCUGUAUAGUGAGUACUUAGCACAGUACUUGGCACACAGCAUUUAAUAAAUGAGUUUUCAUUUAUCCAGUAACAAAAAAUAAAACUAUCCCUGCUUUCAAGACGCAUAAGGAGGUGAAUUCACUUGAAACCUGAACAUAUAGGGAUGGUUGAGGAAAUUUUUAGCAUCUCUAUCAAAAAAAAUUACUCCUAUAAAUUAAGAAUAUUAUUUUUAACAAUAAUCUUAAUGAUGCACAGUCACACUCAUUCCUGUAAAGCAAUGGGUAAGAGUACAAUUUGUCAAGUGCUUUCUUUUCUAUAAGGUCAGAGGGGAGAGAGAGGAGAAGGGUGGGAGAGAAGAAAGGAGGAAGGGAGAAAAAAAACACAUAGAGACAGACACACAGAGAGACAAGAGAGGGUGACAGAGAGACACAGAAAGAGACAGAGACAGAAAGAGUGACAGAGACAGAGACAAAAAGAUAAUAAAAGAGAAAAGGGAAGGAGAGACUGAGAAAGGGGAAGAAGAAGGAGAAGACAGGGAAGGGAAGUUGCUCUCAGAUCUGACUGGGAGAAUUAUAAGGUCUCAGCCCUGCCCACAGAAAACAAGAGUCCAAAAGAGGUGGGUUGCUAUAUCUAAUCUAGUCAUAUUCACCUUCCCACUCAACUGCUUCUAACUCCCUCUGAUACUUGGAGAUAAAAUCAGGAGCUUAUUUCAGGCUCAAGUCCAGGUCAGUGGAGGGACUGGUUUUUUUUAAGUCAGGUCAAUUUUGAAUUUAAAAAUUCAAACCUGUUGAUAGUAAUAAACUACUUCUUCCUGGCUUCAGUCCCCCCGGCCCACUGCAAUUCCUUUUGUUCUGCCUGGCAGGUGGUGCCUGUCAUUUGCUCCAUUGACAAGAAUUUAUUAAGCAUCUACUUUGUGUUAGACAUUGUACCAAGGACUGAAGAUACAAGGACAAAAAAAAAAAAAGAAAAAAUCCCAGGUGUCAAGGAACUUAAACUCAAGAAGCCAUGUUACAUGUACGAGUGGGUCUGGAACAAACACAAAAGGAGGGGCAUCUUAUAGAUGGCUGCCUUGUUUGAAGGUGAGGGUGGUUAUGGGGGAGGACAAUCCAAGCGUAGGAGAACUGCCUGUACAAAA